AAUGGCCUGUGAUGAAUAAAACUUUUGCCUACAUUGUCUGAUUAUUCACCAUGAAGAAACAACUCCUAAGAUUUCUGAGGCCCUU